GUGGAUCAAGAGGAGCCUCAGUGAGAUCUGAUGUAGAUCAUGAGUUUCUUGAUUUCCAGCUCAGUGUCAGAAUUGGAUAAGAUUUUUGGAGUGUCUUUGAGAUGGAUGGCCACGAGAAAAACAUGACACGGACCCAGGAGGAUAACAGUUAUGCAGAGCUGCCCUGGGUGACCGGAAGACCUGUAGCCUGAAGCAAAGCCACCCCCACUGACCCUCAGGCAUAGGUUUCAGUGAAAGAAAAGUCCAAAGAACAAGAUGUGGUCAGCAUCUCCAUUUCCUCGCGUGGAUGCUCCAUUCAGAGACACAGCGAACUCUUCCUUCCUGCCACCCUCCGCCUUUCAGCACUGUCUCCACAGCUGAGAUCCGUGGAAGCCUACAUCUGCACACCUAGGUUCCCAUCUGUCUGUAACAAGAAAGAAAUAAUUACUGGAAAAAUAA